rnacentral:lncRNA from 1 species
AGAAAAUAAAUAAUUUCUGCUGUAAGCUUCUAUACAAAGUCAACGGAAUUUUGGAGCUCUCUAUAUAUGAAAGGGCUAGUUGAUCAUACUAAAUUUUUAUCACCAGAUUUUUUUUAAACAAAGCCUUACAAAUUUAAUAGCCAUUUGUUAUUAGCAAGUACCAUCGCGAUGGGUCAUCUCUUAUCCUGUUACAAGCGUCGCAAGAAGAGUGAGGUGACGUCAUCUCCGCCGAAGAAUAAAAAAGUCAAAAAGGGUAAACUAAAGACGGUGCGCACGAAAGAUCAUGAAGAUCUUGUUGUCCUGGCACGAAAUAUGGAGAUCAUGUCGAGAAAGAGAAAUAAGACAAAUAAGACCUCCAGAGGCAGUUGUUGGGGCGGAGGAGAUGGACGUGGUGGUUACGUUUACGGCGGAGGUUGGGGAGGUGGGUGUGGAGGUGGCGGCUGUUAAAAAUUAAAAAUUAGGGUUCUGUAUAAUUAUUGUAAUGCUAUGUAUGAUUUCUUGUGCGUGUGAUUUCUUUUGUAUGAUUUCUUGUGCGUGUGAUUUCUUUUGUACAUGUAAGAUUUCAGGUGUGAUGUACUGAUGUGUAAUAUACACCAAAAACUGUAUGUGAACAUUAAAUUUAUUGCAAUUUUUACUCAAAACCUUUAUCUAUAUGG